UAGCAUCGUUCAGCCAGUCACCGUUCGGACAACACACGGACGACAUUUGCGUCGCGCGCAGCCAUUUAAUUUUCCCGCGUCAAAAUUUAAAAACCACGCGGAUUCUUUUUCCAAACGCAAGUUCCUUACCAGCCAGUUAUUUUACGGUGUUCGAAUAUGCCUAAGAAAAAAUAAAUUUAAAAAUUGUCGUUCGAUUGUUUGUAUUAAAACUUUUUGGAACAUGUGCUAAACCGCUGCAUGCUGACGACGCGUGAAAAAUCUGUGAUAGUAUUUUGCUGUGAAACUUUGAAAACCUGUGUGUCUAUUGACAUUAUAGUUUAUUGAUUGGGUUUCGUGAAAUCUAAUUUCGCGAGACGUUCACAACUGUUCUUUAUGAUAGGUCCAUAUAUGAAGUGUCAACAUUUCUACCCCAAACAUUAUGAUUUACAAAUGGAUAUUAUGAUAAGAGUGAAGUGUUGUCAAGAAACUAAAAAUCCAAAGUGACGAAGUGCCCUGUAGGUGUCUGUAGUGCUACGUUCCGUCUCGCCUUACCUUUAGUGUUUCCAAGAUGUCUGACAAGACCUCGUCGUCGGUUGGUCCUAGAAGUUUUGAGACGAUAUCGGAGGAGGACCUAGCGUCGCCGUGGGACGAACUGUUGGGAAAUUCGAAAUCUCCUGUUCCUACUAUAAUUAAAACGAAUGCUUCGAGCUCGACGAUUUGCAAGGAGGAGGUGUCGUCUCACCCGCGUGUGUUGGACGUGGAGGCGAACAAGUUGACGCGGUCGAAGAGUUUGAACCAGCGGAGGAACAGCAGCGGGCUUCUCAACUCCAUCCCGCGGCAGCUGAGGCUCUCCCUCCGGGGCGUCCGCAGCGAGCCUUCCAGCGUGAAGGACGUGCCAACGACCAGGAAUGACAGCUCCCUCAACCUUCUCCUUAGAUACCGUCAAGCCAGAUACGCAGCCAGACGCGUGAAGAAGCGCGUCAUCUUCAAGCACGGAGACUGUAACGUUGUCCAAUGGAACGUGGCAAAGCGCAGGCGCCGAUACCUGCAGGACAUCUUCACGACCCUCGUGGACGCUCAGUGGCGCUGGACGCUGCUGGUGUUCGCUCUCUCUUUCAUCCUCUCCUGGCUUAUGUUCGCCCUGAUCUGGUGGCUCAUCAUCUUUACCCACGGCGACCUCACCCCACCUCCCCCCGACCAAAACAUCACCUUCAUCCCUUGCCUCAACAAUGUCAACUCCUUCACCGGUUGCUUCCUCUUCUCCGUCGAAACGCAACACACCAUUGGCUACGGCUCAAGAACCACCAACGAGGAAUGCCCUGAAGCCAUAUUCGUUAUGUGCAUUCAGAGCAUCGUCGGAGUCUUCAUCCAAGCUUUCAUGGUGGGAAUCGUGUUCGCAAAGCUUUCUAGACCUAAAAAACGAGCCCAGACCCUGUUGUACUCCAGGAAUGCAGUCAUAUGUUUGCGGGACGGUCAACUGUGCCUGAUGUUCCGAGUCGGGGACAUGAGAAAAUCCCACAUAGUUGAAGCCCAUAUCAGAGCACAAAUUAUCCGCCGCAAGAUUACCAGGGAGGGUGAGGUCCUGCCGUUCUACCAACAGGAGCUGAAGGUCGGCGCCGACGGCGAGGAAGACCGGCUCAUGUUCAUCUGGCCCAUGACCAUCGUGCAUAAGAUCAACGAGAAGUCCCCGCUGUAUAACCUGUCCGCAUCUGAUAUGCUGAGGGAGAGAUUUGAAAUCGUCGUUAUGUUGGAGGGUGUGAUCGAGUCGACAGGCAUGACAACUCAGGCUCGUAGCAGCUUUUUGCCUUCUGAAAUCUUAUGGGGUCAUCGCUUCGAAACCAUGGUCACCUUCAGGAAGGACACCGGGGAGUAUGAGGUGGACUAUACGAAAUUCAACAACACGUAUGAAGUAGACACGCCUUUAUGCUCUGCCAAGCAGUUAGAUGAACUCCGAGCUACUGUCUCCACCUCUCAGAAAUUAGACAAAAUCCUAGGCACCAUACCAAAGACCUUCUCCAACGAGACACUAGACCUUAGCUCAGUCGACUCCAUGUCCCUCGAUGAGCACAUCGAGAUUAAUAUCCCCGAAGCGCGGGCCAGAGAGAACAGACUCAUGGCUCAGACCAACUUCAUACAGCACGUCAACGAGAAAGCCAGGAACUCCAGUCAUACGCAUCUAGCAGUUGAGAACGGUACAGAGAUGCCAAGGAACCACGUGGAAAACAAAGAUCCGAAAGAAAACCACAGCCAUAUGCAUAGGAGCCAUAGCCAUGCGAGCAUGAAGAGAGUGCAUGGACUCACACCGAAUGGCAUCGGCCAUGCAGGUCACCAUGAAAAAAUAGAUGAGCAUAGUAAAAUAAGAAAGAACUUUUUAAAGAGGUUCGCGAUUCCGCUACUGAGUGAAGGGUCAAAAAAACUCCCGCGAUUUGCUUCAUUCCAACGUUUGGCUAUCUGGAGGCAAAAAGCUAAUGAUCCCCUAGUGCAAAUUUCAUAGGAGAGAAGCCAGUGAUUCCUAUCCUAGUGACGUCACCGGAGCCGGAACCCGCGUGACGUUUCCUUCACAAAGACAACCCGCCGGCCGUCGCGCGGCGCAAGCCAACCAAUCGCGUGACGUUCUUCGACGAAUCCACCAAUAGCGUGAGAUCUUUAGACAAUUUAACGAAUCGCGUGAGUUUUAUCGACGCGUUGACCAAUCGCGUGAGGUUUAUCAACGCUCUGACCAAUGAGUCACACCAACAGGUUAGGAUUUAAUUAGAAUUUACAUCAAUGAAACUUCUACAGUUCUCAUCAACUUUUAAUAGAAUUGUUAUGGUUACGACGUCACUGCGUGUAUUUACCCAAUAUUUCCCAAUUUGAAUACGUAAUUUUUUAUUCAUAUGCUAUGACGUCACUACGCGAGUCAUCUGGCUCAUGUGCGUGUCACUCGAUACCAACGAGUGUUAGCUAUUACUAAUAGAUAGAAUAAAAAUAAAAACAUAUUUUCUUCCUCAAAAAUUUCAAAUUCCUACUUAUGUUGGUGUGACUUAUUAAGAGCGGUGUGAUGAUUAGAAUAAUAAAAAUCGUCGACGGCCUGACCAAGCGUGCGGUUCGACAUCUACGAUACCUAGAGAAAACAUCGGUGAUGUACGUACUCAACUUGGCUCUAGCACUACGUGCGCCUAAAGAAAAUGUACAGUUGGUAAAUCAAACAAUAUUACAUCAAAAAUUGUAAGUCAAAAAUAAUUUGUUGUUAUAAAAACACUUCAACGUUGCCAACUCAACUGUGCAAUUUUCAUAGAAUAGCAAGAAUGUGGAGUAAAAAAACAUAGACUGUUUAACUAAAUUAAAUUAGGUAUUUAGGAAAUAAAGUGCUUCGAAAUGCUGUAAUUUAUACCAAAUUAUUAUUUAUAAUUUGUAACCUACGAAUUGGUCUCUAAAAGACAAAUAAACUCAAUGUACUUAUAAGUUAGAAUCGCACUGUGCUUUUCAUCCACGUUGAAAACACCUAUUCUCGUACUUACCAUUAUAAUGAUACUUUACCAAUAAAAUGACACAAAUGGCAUUGCUUUAAUUGCGUUGUUGAUACUGUUAUUAAUUAACAUCAAUAGAAACCUAAUGUAGAAUGAUUUUUAUCGAUUUCAAACAACUGACCAUGUUUUAGCUUAUUUUUACCCGAUUGAGCUGGGUACUUCGCUGAAUGCGCCACCCGUUAGCGUCGAUGUGACGUCACGGCUGCCAGGUGCGCAGUUAAUUCAAUCGGUUUGUAAUAGUGUCAACCACUCAAUCAAGAAAGCUUAUACCUAAUUUAAACAUCGUCACUAGUAAGAAACAUUAGUGUUAGUGUUAUCUAACCAAAAGUAUCAUUUCAUUUGGCAUACACUCAAGUCGAUGUACCAGAUAGGGUUGUAUUUAGUUCAAGUAUUUAUUUAGAAACAAAUUAAUGACUAGUUGUGGCGAAGCGAGAUCUAUAAAGCUUUAAAGAAGUAAUUGAAAGUUGUCUCUCCGCUAAAAUAUGUAUUAGUUAAUCAAAGAACCAAUGUUAGUUUUCCAUCAAUACCUAUUACCGAUGUUUUCACUUCUAUAGAAUAAUGCAGUGGCUGGUCUCUCUAUUUAUAAUUAGACCAAUAAAGAAUUCCAAAUUGAUGUCUGUUUAGAUGCAAUUAACAUAGUUAACUUUCCAGUGUAUAUGACCCCUGAUUUAUAUGAAUUUAUAGUAAAUGGCCAAAAAUUGUCUUCCUAUGUAUUUGAAAAUUGACUCAAAAUUGUUAACUGAUAAAAUCUGAAAAUACUGACGUAUAACGUCUUAUGUCUUAUUGUUAUUGUAUGGGGUUCCUGUAUAACUAUGGAACCCCAAAAUGGUGCAAAUCAAAAGUAUUCUCUUAAAAGUCUGUGAACAGCUACUUAGUUACGUAAGGCAUUAUAAAUGUACAAUGGCCAGCAAGUCAAACGAUGGAUUGACGACUUCCUCAAUGAAUUUUGAAAUUUAUAUUUCCAGUAUAAGAUUCAAAAUCGAUUGAGAUGUGAGUAUAACAUUUAGGUAGGUUGAUGUGCUGGCGAUCGUACUUAGUAGCUUAGUUAUAAAGUGCCUAAUGCUUACAUUAAGUAAAUUAUAUUUAGCUUUACUGAUAUAUUGGAAAUGUUAUACAGGGUGAUCGAGUCCUUUUGAAAUAUGUCAUUUCCUUACUGAAAUUGAUUUUUUAAGUACCAGCAUUAUUCCCAGUUGAUUUUAAAUUGAGAAUUUAUGUAUUCAUC